CUCAGGCGAAGGUGUUCAUCAAGAUCAAGGCCUCUCACAACCGGGAGAAAAAGAUCCUGCGGUUUCAGGUCCGGUUCUCUCAAGCUCAUGACGACCGUGUGAGGACAUCAAACUGGACCGCAACCCCAACCCUUCCCCUACCCAUCUGCCAACACGCAUUCUCAAGGACUUUCAGUUUACCUUCAUGUGAGUCACGUUCCAGCUUCUCAACGUGGACUUUUGAGGAUGUGGCUUUAAGUUCAAGUGGUUUGACUUGUGAGAAGGACACAAAUCUCUCUUCAUAUUUCCUACCAGAGAUUCCAAACUCAAAAUACAUUAGGUUUGCUCACUUUUGAAAAGACAUUUUAUGAUUAAAUGAUUAUUGCAAUCCGUUUGCAAAGAGCUUUGAAGUGUAAGUUCAACCAAUCAAAUGGCCUCCUUUACUUCCCUCUUUCUUUGAGCUGAAGGAGGAAAGAAAGAAACUAAACCAAGUAGAACUCUCUAUAUGCCUCCUUCAUACCAUUCUGUAGAAACAAUGCAUUCUGGGUAAAUAUCUUGAACCACACCCAUGUGGAAAGGAGACUUAGUUUGGAGAGACCUUUACGUUAUCACUUGUCUCCAGAGGAAGGUUUUUGGGGAGGAGAUCCAGGGGGUUCCUCUGAUGUUCCUGCGGCAUGUUGAGGGUUGAGCCACAGCCGGGAUGCUGUAAUCUCUUUUAGCUUUACUUUGUAUUUAUUAUCACCAACAAACGUCUGUAAAUGUAUUUUAUAUGGCUCAGUCCUUAUUGUUGCUAUUUGAAACUUAAUAUAUUUGCUUUGCUGCUUUUCGUAUAAAACACGUGGUGCCAGCUGAUUACACCUCUACUCCUGAAGAUCCUCUCUUUGCACCUUCUCCGGGAUAACCUGAGAUGGUGGUGCUCACAGAUCAGUGGAGAGACCUGAAAAAGCUACAAAAAGCUAGCAUGUCAAUGCUAUGGUAGCUUUUUCUAGCUAGCUGGUGUCCCAUAAGGAUGUUUUUAGCCCCGUUUAGCACAAAGACCUAAUAAAUGUAAUCUACCACACAACAACUCAAAGAAACACAUUAGAGCAGGAAGGAAUCGCAAGUGAGUAAUCAAUGACAUCAUCAACAUUAUAGCAUCCCCGACUAUCUUUUUGUGCUAAGCUAGGCUAAACAUGCUUAAAGCUGAAACAAUGAGUUAUUCCAUACACAGGGAGGUUCCUUCUGUCUGUCUGUUGUUGCAAGUCUCUGAAAAACUUUAUAUUUCUAAACUUCACACUUAGGAACCUUGAGUGGAUUUUCCGUCCAUCAAUGAUCGUAUUACUACGCUUCAAUAAAUGUGCACCUGGAGUUCGUUGUUCUGGGUUCUGUUGUCCUCUGUGGGGCCGAUGUGUGUCUCAUUGUGUCUCUGACUGCGUGUCUCCGGUCAUGUUUUCCGCUUGUGUGUCUCGUUUUGUCUCCGGUUGUAUGCAUGUGGUUGCAUGACACUGGUUGUGUCUCUGGUUGUGUGUCUUGUGUCUUAAGGUUUUAACUUUAACCACAAAUCAUCCUGUUGAUGUUGAGACGGUUCAGAGAGCGUUCAUGCAGACACACGCCGGGGAAACCGUCGUUGUUUGAGACUAAAGAAUUUGAUGCCACCCGUCCUCAAACAACCUGCGUUCUACCAACACAAAGACAAACAUGUUUUAAUAUGCACAUAAAAACAGAGAGAGGUGAUUUAUAUGCUCACUGCACAAGUGGUGUGUGUGUGUGUGUGUGUGUGUGUGUGUGUGCGUGUGUCUGUUCGUUCUCUUUAGAUUUAGAGUCAAUAUUCUGAGCUCCGUUCACUCUGCUCACCCAUUUCCCUCUGGCUCAAUGACGUUCAAUUACGUGAAGUUAGUCUUCGGUUUUACGGAAGAACCUGAAUGCAGCAUCAAAUUAGAUAUUUUUUCAGAUUUUUCCACCCAGGGCUGCAGAUUUGGCUGCAAGACGACAACAGACUGACUCUGCAGGGACACACACACACACGCACACACACACGCACACACACACACACACACACACACACACACACAC
ensembl:lncRNA